rnacentral:rRNA from 1 species
UUGAACGCUGGCGGCAUGCUUUACCCCUGCAAGUCGAACGGUAACAGCACUUCGGUGGCUGACGAGUGGCGAACGGGUGAGUAAUACAUCGGAACGUGCCUAGUAGUGGGGGAUAACUACUCGAAAGAGUAGCUAAUACCGCAUGAGAUCUAAGGAUGAAAGCAGGGGACCUUCGGGCCUUGCGCUACUAGAGCGGCUGAUGGCAGAUUAGGUAGUUGGUGGGAUAAAAGCUUACCAAGCCGACGAUCUGUAGCUGGUCUGAGAGGACGACCAGCCACACUGGGACUGAGACACGGCCCAGACUCCUACGGGAGGCAGCAGUGGGGAAUUUUGGACAAUGGGCGCAAGCCUGAUCCAGCAAUGCCGCGUGCAGGAUGAAGGCCUUCGGGUUGUAAACUGCUUUUGUACGGAACGAAAAGCCCUCUUCUAAUACAGGAGGGUCAUGACGGUACCGUAAGAAUAAGCACCGGCUAACUACGUG